UGAAGGCGUUCGGGAGAACCCUCGUGAAGGAACUCGGCAAAAUGACCCCGUACCUUCGGUACAAGGGGUGCUCUCCGCAAGGAGAGCCGCAGAGAAUCGGCUCUAGCGACUGUUUAUCAAAAACACAGGACUCUGCCAACUCGCAAGAGGACGUAUAGAGUCUGACGCCUGCUCGGUGUCGGUAGGUUAAGGGAGCCGAUGAGGCGAGAGCCGAAGUUGGCGACCGAAGCCCCGAUAAACGGCGGCCGCAACUAGGACGGUCCUAAGGUAGCGAAGUUCCUUGUCGGGUAAGUUCCGACCUGCAUGAAUGGCGUAACGACUGGAGCACUGUCUCCACGAGGGACCCGGUGAAACUGUAGCCGUGGUGAAGAUGCCACGUACCCGCGGUCAGACGGAAAGACCCCGUGAACCUUUACUGCAGGUUGGCAUUGGGUCAGCGUCCUUUCUGUGUAGCAUAGGUGGGAGGCCGUGAUCCGGCGGCGCCAGCCGUCGGGGAGCCAUCGGUGAAAUACCACCCUGAAAUGACUCUGAUCCUCACCGGUCCGUAGCCCGGACCGGGACCAUGCUCAUCGGGCAGUUUGACUGGGGCGGUCUCCUCCCAAAGCGUAACGGAGGAGUGCAAUGGUACCCUCGGCCAGGUCGGCAAUCUGGCAACAUGAGCGCAAACGUAGAAGGGUGCCUGACUGCGAGACCCAUCAGUCGAGCAGGGACGAAAGUCGGCGUUAGUGAUCCGGCGGUGCUGGAUGGAAAGGCCGUCGUUCAACAGAUAAAAGGUACUCCGGGGAUAACAGGCUGAUCUCCCCCGAGCGUCCAUAGCGGCGGGGAGGUUUGGCACCUCGAUGUCGGCUCAUCGCAUCCUGGGGCUGGAGAAGGUCCCAAGGGUUUGGCUGUUCGCCAAUGAAAGCGGUACGCGAGCUGGGUUCAGACCGUCGUGAGACAGGUCGGUCCCUAUCUGCCGUGGGCGGAGGAAACUUGCGAAGGGUCUCCCCUAGUACGAGAGGAUUGGGGAGGACCGACCUCUGGUGUACCGGCUGUCCCGCUCGGGGCACCGCCGGGUAGCUAGGUCGGGAAAGGAUAAGCGCUGAAGGCAUCUAAGCGCGAAGCCCUCUUCAAGACGAGGUUUCCAGCACGCAAGUGCGAAGGCUCCUGGAAGACGACCAGGUCGAUAGGCCGGGAGUGCACGGCGAGUGAUCGCCGCAGCCGACCGGUCCUAACAGCCGAUCGCUUGACCAC
rnacentral:rRNA from 1 species